ensembl:lncRNA
GUUUUUUCCCACCCACAUCCUGCUUCUAAUUGGCUCUGACCCAGAUGGCAACGAGAGCCAAUCAGAGGCAGGGCAGGGCAAUCUGUUUUUUUUUUUCUGGUUAGGAAAACGUCGUCAGUGAGUGACGUAAACUUUAAAUGAAUGCGCGCGAGUUGCGACUGAUGGUGACUGACUGGACUGUAGGAGAGUUUUUUGGAGGAACAAAUGCCUGGGACAAAGUGGGCGAUAUGUUUAAUUUGCACCUUGGUACCUGAAGCAACUUGAAAGAUAAUGGUGGUGUUAUUCUUCAUAUAUAUGAGGCUAAAGUGUUAUGAGUCUUAAGAAAAAUGUUUUAGACCAAGCCUCAUCCUCACCUGUUCAAAUGGUUUUGACUGGAAUGGUUUUUAAACCAGUUUAGUUUCUUUAAGUCUUUUCUAACGCACUCAUUUGUUUAUCAGAGCAGGAGCCACUUUAUUGCUGCACACUAAGAUCAUCAAUAAUUUCUCCUGUUUCUGGGUUAUAGUCAUUUAAAAAUGGGAUCUUCUGCAGUCCCUGCAAUAAUAAAUAAAGAAUUUGUGAAUUCAGGAUGAUUUUUAUUUGUGUGUGCAAAUUUUAAUUAUCAGAUGUUUACUGUGUAUAUAAUGUACUUGGUACAUCAGUCUAUAUUUGAUAUCCCAUCAGUUUUCUAAUGUUAAAUAAUGUUAAAAGGUGGUUUAACUCCCUCUUGUGGUCAUUGUCCUGAAGCUCAGGGGGGAGAAAAAUAAAUAAACUGUACCGUGUGUGGCAGUUUUGUAAAACUGCGCACAGUUUACCAAUCUGUCCACAUGGAUGUAAAUUGAGAAUCUGUACCCACAGUUUAAAAUCCGUCCCCACGGAUUGUAAAACCGUGCACACAGUUUAUUUAUUUUUCUCUUCCCGGAACCUAGGGGGGCUCCGUAGAAAAAGUCGCUUGUUUUCACAGGCCUGGUUGCUUAUUUGUCUCGCGAGAUCUGGCAACACUGAGAGAAAUCUGAAUUACCCACCGAAUCUUGCAGAGACGGCGAGCGUGAACAGGAGCAAAUUUUGAACUUCAACUGCACUACUUUUCAUAGACAGCAUAAGCUGUUACACCAUGGAUAACAACAAAGGUAAGCCAUGUAGCUAUAGUAUAAUUUAGAAAUAUAGUAUAAAAUAUGGAAAGCAACACAUUGACCGUAAGAGAAAAUAAAAUAAUAAAUGAACCUUGUGUAAUACCUAUA